UACGAAGGGGGCUAGCGUUGCUCGGAAUCACUGGGCGUAAAGGGUGCGUAGGCGGGUCUUUAAGUCAGAGGUGAAAUCCUGGAGCUCAACUCCAGAACUGCCUUUGAUACUGAGGAUCUUGAGUUCGGGAGAGGUGAGUGGAACUGCGAGUGUAGAGGUGAAAUUCGUAGAUAUUCGCAAGAACACCAGUGGCGAAGGCGGCUCACUGGCCCGAUACUGACGCUGAGGAGCGAAAGCGUGGGGAGCGAACAGG
rnacentral:rRNA from 1 species